AGAGUUUGAUUAUGGCUCAGGACGAACGCUGGCGGCGUGCUUAACACAUGCAAGUCGAGCGAUGAAGCUUCUUCGGAAGUGGAUUAGCGGCGGACGGGUGAGUAACACGUGGGUAACCUGCCUCAUAGAGGGGAAUAGCCUUCCGAAAGGAAGAUUAAUACCGCAUAAGAUUGUAAUAUCGCAUGAUAUAGCAAUUAAAGGAGUAAUCCGCUAUGAGAUGGACCCGCGUCGCAUUAGCUAGUUGGUGAGGUAACGGCUCACCAAGGCGACGAUGCGUAGCCGACCUGAGAGGGUGAUCGGCCACAUUGGGACUGAGACACGGCCCAGACUCCUACGGGAGGCAGCAGUGGGGAAUAUUGCACAAUGGGGGAAACCCUGAUGCAAGCAACGCCGCGUGAGUGAUGACGGUCUUCGGAUUGUAAAGCUCUGUCUUCAGGGACGAUAAUGACGGUACCUGAGGAGGAAGCCACGGCUAACUACGUGCCAGCCGCCGC
rnacentral:rRNA from 1 species